CGGCAACGCGAGCGGCACGGGUCUCUGGGACCCAGGCAAAGGUGUGCGCGCAGCGAGGUGCAAGGAAUAAAGGCAUAGACCACCAUGCCCGGAUUUACAGUGGUUUGAACGAGAAUGGUCCCUGUAAGCAGCCAGCAAGAUGGCUCAGUUGGUAAGGGCACUUUGCCAUCAAGCCUGAUAUACUGAGUUCAGAUCUGGGAUCCCACAACGAUAGUGAUGUCUUUCUACAAACUGCCUCUCUAGCCUUGCCCACUGGUUGUUCCCCCUGCCCUCAAACUUGCAAUGAUCCUCCUGCCUCUGCUUCCCAACUGAGGUCUUCUUUUACUGAAAUCUGUCACAGACUUUCCACUUCCUCCGACGAGUUUUCUGUGUCACCCGUUUCUGUUAUCAUGUUGGGUUUUUUGCUCAAGCCCUUUAAAAUGAUGUGUUCACAUACUUGUCCACAUCUUUUCAUUGCUGUU